ACAUCGAGUCCUGGAUCUACAAAAAGCAGCUUUGCUGGCCCUGGAGUGAAUUAUCAUGCGUUCUGUUACCUCUGGAGAAGGUGACAAGUUGCUGUUAGUUUGUUGAAUUUUUCCUUAUUGAUGGUACCUCCAGGAAGUGCCCAGUUCUUAUCUACAGAGAUGCCCUUCAAGGAGACCUUUAUGGGUCACAUUUAUGGCUCCUACGGUCUGGUCAAUACAGCAUUCUCUGCACCCCGUGCACCCUGCUACAAGCCUGUUGCAGCUUGGUUUCUUGGCCACAAAGGCAUGGAGGUGUGCACAUUGCCCAUGGAUGAGGCACUGGAGAAGGACACAGUUCUCAGUCUUCAUUCUCCGGCUCUUCAGUGUGAUCUUAUGCAGCAUAACGUUUCCACCUGAAUAAUUUACAAGGCAAAAGCACUCCAAGUAUGAAAACAUUUGCAACGAUAUUAGACAGAAAGACAGUCUUCACUGGGCCACUGCAAGGUACCUUUGUUGAAGCCUAUUUCCCUAGGAAAGUACAUGCUCCAACAAAUAGCCACUUGGAAUGUAAAUCAGGCUAAGCAGCCCCAGCUCUCUCAGCCUGUCCUCAUAGGGAGCUGUUCCAUCCCUUGGAUCAUUUUUGUGGCCCUCCUCUGGAUGCACUCCAACAGCUCCAUGUCUCUCCUGUACUGAGGACUCCACAUCUGGAUGCAGCUCUCCAGGUUUUGACGGUAAGAGAGUAUUGAUUCCUUCAAGAAGAAUGUUAAUGGUCACAGUGCUACUCAUCAGGAAAAAUGAAUCUGUGAAAACUCCACUACCUACACAUUACACUUUUUGGUUACUGCAUGCUCCAAGCCUGUGGUUAGCCAAACUUAAAAUGUGAGCUGUUGAAUUUAUAUGUGCAGAGCAUGGGUCACAUUUUGGAGUCUGUCCAAGGAGUUCUCUCAGCUGUGGGAUCCAGGAAGGCUCUUCAGGCCUGGGUGUACAUCACAACCACAUCUUUCUCCAUAGUGGGACCCGUACCUUGCAUCCUAACAAGUCUUGGGCAACAGCGGCACCUCAGCUCACCUCAAGUCCCUGACUUGGGUGGCAGGCCUUAGCCCACUGUUCACUCUUAUUUCAUAAUCUUAGGAAAUUAAGUCUGUUAAAAAAUCACUACUUGUUGCCCAUGGGCCUGGUAUCAUUCUAUACAUCUGCUGGACUAAUGAAGGUAGACUUCAAACAGCUUGCCAACUUCCCUCCUUUACCACUGUUAACGUGUCAUUUUCAGAAUGUCAAAGGACGUGGGACAGACAAGAGAAAGCUGGGAUUGCAUGCGGACACUGUGCACACAUUUGCAUGAGUAGAAAAUCUCCCAAAUCACAGACUUUUCUGUCUAGAGGCAUGAUCCAUCCCUGGGAUAUCAAGGAUUUCAUUUUUGCUUAGAAACUUAAUGAUCUUGUUGCUUUCAAGGAGCUGUCAUUCUAUUUGUACCAUACAAAAUACAGAUACAGUCUUUUUUUUCUAUGUGUGUGUACCACAGUCACUACUCUGAGAAAGGGGGAAUCUGAAAAGUGAGCAAAACCACCACUUACAAUUUGCCUAUAAGAGUGCUUAGAUAUUUCUUAAUGCACUGAGGAAUGCAAAUCAAUCCCCCCCAGAACAACUCUAUCCAUCCAACCAGGAUCCCAAUGCUGAAUGCAAGUGCUGAUGGACAUCUUUAGGGGCUUAAUUAUCCAAAGUGCUAGGAAACCACAAGUUCCAUGGUCACAGGUAUGCAACAGCUUUGAAGACUGAGCUACUUGUAUUUAAAAGCUUCAGCGGAGAUUUAGCAACUUAACUUCAUGAAACCAACUCUGUGGGUUUCAUUUGUAUUCCAAAGGCAAAUACUAUCCCAGUUUUGGGAAGAGACAAGGAGGACAGCAAGAUGCUGAAAGUGCCCUAAGCUGCAGUGGGUGAUGAGGACGUGCUGGGACCUCGUCUGUUUUGGUUGCUCUGUGGGAAUCAAGGGGUCACACUGGGAGACCACUGGGAGAAGGGGAAACCCAAUAUCAUCAUCAAAGAAAAGGGAAACAAGACAUCAGCAACAGUCCUGCAUCUGUGAGCAGGUCACAGCCAAGGUGCUCUGUUUCCCUCUACUGGUAAAACCUCAAGAUUUAUUUUUUUAUAUAUCACUAGAAUUCUGGGGUUUUUUUGCUGGAGGUUUUCUGCUGGAGGUGUCUGUGUGGCACUGUGUGCUGUGCGUGCCCAUGCAUUGUGUGCUGAACAGUGCCUGUGAGCAUAUCCAGGUUUCUUGUUUUCUUCCAAAUCUCCCUCAGCUCUCUCUCUCUUUGCUGAGCUCUGCCAUACAGCCAGCUCCGUUUCAUGCUGUUGACUUCAGCAGAGUUGGGCAUGAAUCUAAAUUAUUAAGAAAUAUUUCAAGGUGAUUUAUGCAUGUUUGGGAAGGUGUCAUUGAUUUCUCAGCAUGAAAGCAAUGCCGCAACACUAACACUACUCUUCGGCAGUCUAACACUUUUUUUAAAGAACUGCUGCUAUUUGGUUGUGUUCAAAAGACAGAACAGAGAUUCUGUUGUAGGAAAGUCUCAAGAUUACGAGCUGGUAAGAAGAUGAGGUAAUUGUACACAUGGCACUGAAUGCACUAUCUAGAUAUUUGAAUUGCUCAGUCAGACCACACGGCCCACAGCCAGCUCCAGUAAGACCUCAUGCACGAUCCUCUGCUUCCCAUUGCCAAAGAAAACAUCAGUGUUCACAACCAUUAGAGGACUUUAGAAGUAAGCAAAAUUAAUUUAGGAAGGAGCUUUCUGAGCUUUCACAGGCACCAUCUUAUAGAGACAUGGGUCUCCUUCCAGCUUACAGUCUUUCACUAUCUUGGGGUCUUUCAGGGCGUUUCUUCCUUUCCACGUGACAUCCCCAACAGCAGAGGUUUCCCAUGUCCUGCUACCAGGGUUAGCAUUUUACACUGGGAAUGCAUUUGAGUUUUUCCACAUGUGAUAAAAACAAAUGGCGAAUUUCAUCUCUAGGAGAAAUAAGUGACUGUUACACUUACCUGCAAGUGCUUUUCUUGGAAAGUCCAGUCGUUCAUGCUCACAUAGUUCAGUUUAACACGACUGUUAGAUUAAUUGAGCUAUUCAGCAUGUCUGGUCACAAAGUAUGUUGUAACUAAUUUCAGAAAGCCCUGGGCAGGCUGGCAGGGCCUAGGAGUGCAACCAGAGGUAUUGCCAUACAGACUGUUGGGUCUCACAGCGAGUUGACAUUGAAAUUAAUUUACCAUUGAAGAAAGUGAUGGGAUGUGAGGAAACAAUGCUUUUGGACAAAUUGCUCUGCUUCUGUUGCUCUCAACACUCCGCUUUUUGAAUACAUGUGUACUCUGUAAACGUAGUCAAGAAAACACAUGCUUCAUUGAAACCCUCAAACC
ensembl:lncRNA